CGAGCACGCGCGUGUGGCAUAUCAAUAAGCGGAGGAAAAGAAACUAACAAGGAUUCCCUUAGUAACGGCGAGUGAAGCGGGAAGAGCUCAAAUUUGAAAUCUUCAAGGUUCUACCUUGACGAAUUGUAGUUUAUAGAAGUGUUUUCUGUUAGUGGAGUGGCAAAAGUUCUUUGGAAUAGGACAUCAUAGAGGGUGAGAAUCCCGUAUUUGGUCAUUCCUCCUAGCGUUGUGAUACACUUUCAACGAGUCGGAUUGUUUGGGAAUGCAGUCCAAAAUGGGUGGUAAAUUUCAUCUAAAGCUAAAUAUUGGCGAGAGACCGAUAGCGAACAAGUACCGUGAGGGAAAGAUGAAAAGAACUUUGAAAAGAGAGUUAAACAGUACGUGAAAUUGUCAAAAGGGAAGCGUUUGACACCAGUGUUGUUUUUCCGAAAAUCAAUUACGAAUGUUUUGUUUUUAAGGAGUUAUGACUUCAUCGGCUUGCUUCUUUCUUUACGAAACUUUCUUAAUGCACUUUUCGGUUAACAAGUCAACAUCAAUUUCUUUUGUUGUAAAAGGGUAUGAGGAAGGUGGCUUUCUUUUCGGAGAAAGUGUUUAUAGCCUUGUGCCUCUGCAAUCGGAGAGAUUGAGGUCUGCAGCGUAGAUCCUUCGGGGUUAGAUACGUUUGUGCUAAGUUAUAGCUUUUCAUAGACAACUUGUUGACUAUGUUUAGUCUUGUAGCUUACUCGCUGAUGCUAUUUUACCUACGCUUAGGAUGUUGAGUCAUCACACAUCUCU
rnacentral:rRNA from 1 species